AUCAUUUAACAUCUAUUGUCCAUGUUGUCAUGGGCUGGACAGUUUGACCAGAGCUAAUAAGCUGAGAGGCUGCACGAAACUGUAGUCUGAUUUGGCAUGGUUUCUAUGGCUGGAUGCCCUUCCUAAUGCCAACCACUCCAAGAGUCCCAAUUUUACAAAUAA